CCUCGACACCCAUCCCAACCUUCGGGAGAUUGGACUUUUUCCGCAUCCUCCUAUAGCAGAAGGUGCUCAUGAUGACGAUUUGUUGUGUGAUAGUGAUGAGGAGAACUGAUUUAUAAUGCAGAGCGACUCACAUUGCAUCAGGUGUGCUCUUAAAAUGUACAUAGAUCAUCGAUGACGAAGAAGUGCUACGCCAGGAGUAUACGACGAGUGGCCGGAGUAUCAGGCCCAGGUUUACCGGUUUCCGGUUUCGGAGCGAUAGCCAGUAGUUAGUUUAGGUUCACGCUAGUGCGAGAGAGGGAUACAAACCGGCGCCUCAAGAAGUACUACAUUAUGUAUGAUGAGACAUGUCAUGUAACUUGUAUAGCUAUUCGUGAUUAUGAUGAGACGACAUGAUUUGUGUUGGAUGAUAUGAUGAGACUAUUAUGUGUAUAAUAUGAUGAGCAUAUUGCAUGUUUA